rnacentral:rRNA from 1 species
CCUACGGGAGGCAGCAGUGAGGAAUAUUGGUCAAUGGGCUUACGCCUGAACCAGCCAAGUCGCGUGAGGGAAGACUGCCCUAUGGGUUGUAAACCUCUUUUGUCAGGGAGCAAUUGGCGCUACGUGUAGCGUUAUCGAGAGUACCUGAAGAAAAAGCAUCGGCUAACUCCGUGCCAGCAGCCGCGGUAAUACGGGGGAUGCGAGCGUUAUCCGGAUUUAUUGGGUUUAAAGGGUGCGUAGGCGGAAUGCCAAGUCAGCGGUAAAAUCGCGGGGCUCAACCGUAAAAUUGCAGUUGAUACUGGCAUCCUUGAGUACAGUAGAGGUAGGCGGAAUUCGUGGUGUAGCGGUGAAAUGCUUAGAUAUCACGAAGAACUCCGAUUGCGAAGGCAGCCUGCUGGACUGUAACUGACGCUGAUGCUCGAAAGUGUGGGUAUCAAACAGGAUUAGAUACCCGAGUAGUC